rfam:Thalassospira alkalitolerans strain JCM 18968 contig5, whole genome shotgun sequence.
GGUCCCUUAGCUCAACUGGAUAGAGCAACAGACUUCUAAUCUGUAGGUUGCAGGUUCAAGUCCUGCAGGGAUCG